ACAAACGUUCUUGUGCUUCAUGUGCCUUUAGGAAAUGUGGUGUGUCUGUUCAUUUCCUUUACGCUUCCUUACUGCCACUAUGUAGACACUGCAGGCAUUGGUUGCUUGCCCGCCGAUGUAUCACCUGAUGAAGUUCAUUCCUCUGUAUUCCAAAGUGCAAAGGCCUUGUACGUCAACACCCAUGAUAGACAGCUUUGUUCGGCUAAUGAAUGAGUUUACUAAUAUGCCAGUACCUCCAAAACCCCGACAAGCUCUUGGAGAUAAAAUCGUGAGGGAUAUUCGCCCUGGAGCUGCCUUUGAGCCCACGUAUAUUUACAGACUCCUGACAGUUAACAAGUCAAGCCUGUCUGAAAAGGGUCGACAAGAAGAUGCUGAGGAAUACUUAGGCUUCAUUCUAAAUGGACUUCAUGAGGAAAUGUUGAACCUAAAGAAGCUUCUCUCACCAAAUAAUGAAAAACUUACGAUUUCCAAUGGCCCCAAAAACCCCUCGGUCAAUGAAGAAGAGCAGGAAGAACAAGGUGAAGGAAGCGAGGAUGAAUG
rnacentral:sRNA from 1 species